rnacentral:rRNA from 1 species
AGCGAACGCUGGCGGCAGGCCUAACACAUGCAAGUCGAACGAACCUUUCGGGGUUAGUGGCGGACGGGUGAGUAACACGUGGGAACGUGCCUUUAGGUUCGGAAUAACUCAGGGAAACUUGUGCUAAUACCGAAUGUGCCCUUCGGGGGAAAGAUUUAUCGCCUUUAGAGCGGCCCGCGUCUGAUUAGCUAGUUGGUUGAGGUAAUGGCUCACCAAGGCGACGAUCAGUAGCUGGUCUGAGAGGAUGAUCAGCCACAUUGGGACUGAGACACGGCCCAAACUCCUACGGGAGGCAGCAGUGGGGAAUCCUGCGCAAUGGGCGAAAGCCUGACGCAGCCAUGCCGCGUGAAUGAUGAAGGUCUUAGGAUUGUAAAAUUCUUUCACCGGGGACGAUAAUGACGGUACCCGGAGAAGAAGCCCCGGCUAACUUCGUG